GUGAGGAAUAUUGGUCAAUGGGCGGGAGCCUGAACCAGCCAAGUCGCGUGAAGGAAGAAGGAUCUAUGGUUCGUAAACUUCUUUUGCAGGGGAAUAAAGUGCAGGACGUGUCCUGUUUUGUAUGUACCCUGAGAAUAAGGAUCGGCUAACUCCGUGCCAGCAGCCGCGGUAAUACGGAGGAUCCGAGCGUUAUCCGGAUUUAUUGGGUUUAAAGGGUGCGUAGGUUGUUUGAUAAGUCAGCGGUGAAAGUUUGCAGCUUAACUGUAAAAAUGCCGUUGAAACUGUCGGACUUGAGUGUAAAGGAGGUAGGCGGAAUGCGUGGUGUAGCGGUGAAAUGCAUAGAUAUCACGCAGAACUCCGAUUGCGAAGGCAGCUUACUAAGCUACAACUGACACUGAAGCACGAAAGCGUGGGGAUCAAACAGGAUUAGAAACCCGGGUAGUCC
rnacentral:rRNA from 1 species